AGACCCGAAACCCGGUGAUCUAGCCAUGGGCAGGUUGAAGGUUGGGUAACACUAACUGGAGGACCGAACCGACUAAUGUUGAAAAAUUAGCGGAUGACCUGUGGCUGGGGGUGAAAGGCCAAUCAAACCGGGAGAUAGCUGGUUCUCCCCGAAAGCUAUUUAGGUAGCGCCUCGUGAAUUCAUCUCCGGGGGUAGAGCACUGUUUCGGCUAGGGGGCCAUCCCGGCUUACCAACCCGAUGCAAACUGCGAAUACCGGAGAAUGUUAUCACGGGAGACACACGGCGGGUGCUAACGUCCGUCGUGAAGAGGGAAACAACCCAGACCGCCAGCUAAGGUCCCAAAGUCAUGGUUAAGUGGGAAACGAUGUGGGAAGGCCCAGACAGCCAGGAUGUUGGCUUAGAAGCAGCCAUCAUUUAAAGAAAGCGUAAUAGCUCACUGGUCGAGUCGGCCUGCGCGGAAGAUGUAACGGGGCUAAACCAUGCACCGAAGCUGCGGCAGCGAACGUAUCACCCAAGACAACUUUACGGAGUUGACGAUUGACGGAGCGAAGCGACGUCAAAGCGUAUACAAAGUCGAGUUGGCUUAGGGAUACGUUCGUUGGGUAGGGGAGCGUUCUGUAAGCCGUUGAAGGUGGCCUGUGAGGGUUGCUGGAGGUAUCAGAAGUGCGAAUGCUGACAUAAGUAACGAUAAAGCGGGUGAAAAGCCCGCUCGCCGGAAGACCAAGGGUUCCUGUCCAACGUUAAUCGGGGCAGGGUGAGUCGACCCCUAAGGCGAGGCCGAAAGGCGUAGUCGAUGGGAAACGGGUUAAUAUUCCCGUACUUGGUGUUACUGCGAAGGGGGG
rnacentral:rRNA from 1 species